rnacentral:rRNA from 1 species
AGGCCUAACACAUGCAAGUCGAACGGAUCCUUCGGGAUUAGUGGCGGACGGGUGAGUAACACGUGGGAACGUGCCCUUUGGUUCGGAACAACUCAGGGAAACUUGAGCUAAUACCGGAUGUGCCCUUCGGGGGAAAGAUUUAUCGCCAUUGGAGCGGCCCGCGUCUGAUUAGCUAGUUGGUGAGGUAAAGGCUCACCAAGGCGACGAUCAGUAGCUGGUCUGAGAGGAUGAUCAGCCACAUUGGGACUGAGACACGGCCCAAACUCCUACGGGAGGCAGCAGUGGGGAAUCUUGCGCAAUGGGCGAAAGCCUGACGCAGCCAUGCCGCGUGAAUGAUGAAGGUCUUAGGAUUGUAAAAUUCUUUCACCGGGGACGAUAAUGACGGUACCCGGAGAAGAAGCCCCGGCUAACUUCGUGCCAGCAGCCGCGGUAAUACGAAGGGGGCUAGCGUUGCUCGGAAUUACUGGGCGUAAAGGGAGCGUAGGCGGACUGUUAAGUUAGAGGUGAAAGCCCAGGGCUCAACCUUGGAAUUGCCUUUGAUACUGGCAGUCUUGAGUACGGAAGAGGUAUGUGGAACUCCGAGUGUAGAGGUGAAAUUCGUAGAUA